UAGUGCCUACGGGACGCAGCAGUGAGGAAUAUUGGUCAAUGGCCGAGAGGCUGAACCAGCCAAGUCGCGUGAGGGAUGACGGCCCUACGGGUUGUAAACCUCUUUUGUCGGGGAGCAAGACCCGCCUCGUGCAGGCGGAGCGAGAGUACCCGAAGAAAAAGCAUCGGCUAACUCCGUGCCAGCAGCCGCGGUAAUACGGAGGAUGCGAGCGUUAUCCGGAUUUAUUGGGUUUAAAGGGUGCGCAGGCGGACCAUCAAGUCAGCGGGAAAAUCGUGGGGCCUAACC
rnacentral:rRNA from 1 species